ensembl:lncRNA
AUCGGUUACUCUAACCACGAUGAAGAGUAUUGAUGUUCCCUUCUGAGCGCGAAGCGGGUAGCGAGUAAUGAUUAAUUUCAUCCGCUCGUUGUCAUUGAUGACCGUUCCUUGCUCCCUAGUGGAGCCUGGAGGUAGGGAACAUGAUCAGAGUGGUUAGAUGUAGAUAUUGUACAGAUUAAGUAUUAAUAGAUGUGUUAUUAUAUGUUCUUGAGAAGUUAAAACUUUUGAUAUAUACCUAGUAAUUAUAGUGCAUAUAAUCGUUACAAGUUGGAUGUUGUGUGUGUAGGCUCUUGUAAACCGUUUGAAGUUACCUGCAUUGCCCGUGUGAAUGCUCAGGUGUAAAUAAUAUCUCAAAUAAUAAUUCACCUUUGAUGUGAUGCGAGUGAUAUAGCCAUAUCAAUUAGCAUAAAAUGGUAAUUCACUCUGUGUGCAGGAAAUCAUAUCGUAGACAGUAUCAAGUAAUUUGAACAAGCUGAAUCUGGAAUGCAUGUACAAUAACGGCACCAUAUGGCAGUAGCCUUACACAUGAAUUUCCCGUGUUUAUAAUACUUCGUAGGAUUUAAAAUAAUACCAAUAUACGUAGAGGUCGGAUGUUAGUUUGACUAAAGCCGUGGGGAAUGAGUUGAAUUCCGACAGAUGGGUGGUAGCCUACUUUCGUCAUCAGACCCCGUGUCGCAAACUAAGAGAUGUGGGAACUAUUUAUCUCUAUAUCUCUUUAUCAUGUCACUCCGUUAACGUAGUUGUGCGUGGUACUUGUAUUGGCCCUUAUGAUCACUAGUUUUGAACGUAAUUCUAUAGUGUUGUUUGUCCUCAUGUGCCGUUAUUAAUUCAAUAUUCG